UACGUAGGGUGCGAGCGUUGUCCGGAUUUAUUGGGCGUAAAGGGUGCGUAGGCGGCAGUGUAAGUUGGACGUGAAAUCCUGGGGCUCAACCUCAGAAUUGCGUUCAAUACUGCAUUGCUAGGGCGCUGUAGAGGAGAUUGGAAUUUACGGUGUAGCAGUGAAAUGCGUAGAUAUCGUAAGGAAGACCAGUGGCGAAAGCGAAUCUCUGGGCAGCAGCCGACGCUGAGGCACGAAGGCCAGGGGAGCAAACGGG
rnacentral:rRNA from 1 species